UGAGAAUCGGAUACUCUGGGACAGUUUGU
rnacentral:piRNA from 1 species